GGCUUGAUGAGUAUGAUUCCAGGUUGUACCUGCCCAAUGAGUGUUUAAAUGGCCGCGGUACACUGACCGUGCAAAGGUAGCAUAAUCACUAGUUUUUUAAUUGGAAGCUGGAAUGAAAGGUUUGAUGAGAAAAUGGCUGUCUCUAAUGAAUUUAUUUAGAAUUUUAUUUUUAAGUGAAAAAGCUUAAAUUUUUAUAAAAGACGAGAAGACCCUAUAGAGUUUUAUAUUUAAAGAAAAUAAGUAAGAGUGGAGGAAAAUAAAAUUAAACUUUUUUAUUUUUUGAGAGUAUUUUGUUGGGGUGAUAGGAAAAUUGAAACAACUUUUCUUGGAAAUAGAACGUUUUGAUUAACGAGUAAAUGAUCCUUAGUUUAAGAUUAGAAGAUUAAAUUACCUUAGGGAUAACAGCGUAAUUUUUUAAAGAGUUCUUAUCGGAAAAAAAGUUUGCGACCUCGAUGUUGGAUUAAAAUUUAUUGUUGGUGAAGAGGCUAAUGAAUUAGGUCUGUUCGACCUUUUAAAUUUUACAUGAUCUGAGUUUAAACCGGCGUGAG
rnacentral:rRNA from 1 species